UCAAAACUUUCAACAAUGGAUCUCUUGGUUCCGGCAUCGAUGAAGAACGCAGCGAAAUGCGAAAAGUAAUGUGAAUUGCAGAAUUCCGUGAAUCAUCGAAUCUUUGAACGCACAUUGCGCCCCCUGGUAUUCCGGGGGGCAUGCCUGUCCGAGCGUCA
rnacentral:rRNA from 1 species